rnacentral:rRNA from 1 species
UACGGAGGGGGGCUAGCGUUGUUCGGAAUCAUUGGGCGUAAAGGGCGCGUAGGCGGCCGAUCAAGUCGGAGGUGAAAUCCCUCGGCUCAACUGAGGAAUUGCCUUCGAUACUGUUCGGCUUGAGUCCUGGAGAGGGUAGCGGAAUUCCCGGUGUAGCGGUGAAAUGCGUAGAGACCGGGAAGAACACCAGUGGCGAAGGCGGCUACCUGGACAGGUACGUGACGCUGAAGCGCGAAAGCUAGGGGAGCAAACAGG